AUAAUAUCUAUGGAGAGUUUGAGUGUUACAUGUCAUCAUCCACGUGACUGCUGGUGAAAUAACCUGCUGGUCUGCAGUUUCAGGACUACUUCACCAUUUUUAUUUUUUUUUUCGGAGCAAAAACGUCCUAGCUCAGCAUCUUUAAAGCUUCAAACAAAGCAGCCGACUGGUUUCCCAUGAUGCCUGGCGUGUGGUCAGCAGUGCUGAGAGAAGACAGGAAGGUCAGAAAACUUUGUUCCUGCAGAAUCAGAUUUCUGUCUCACACUCGGGGGUCAUAGCCCCGCUCUCUUUCCAUACAGAGAAACCAGAGAGGGAACCUGAAACUGUCUGUGUGUGUGUGUGUGUGUGUGUGUUACCAAGACUCAUCAUGUGACCGCAGGACCAGCUGAUUGUAUUUCCAUACGUUGUGUGAAAGAAGAGCGCACAUCCAUCAACGUAAACCUGACUGACUGGGAUGCUGAACUUCAUCUACCAGAAAUAUCUCUUCUUCCUCCCACUCGUCUGAACCCAAGACUUCCAGAUCCACCAGGAGCUGAUCUACGGCCGGAAGGACAAUUCCUUCUACAAGAGCUGUGUGCCAGAGAUACUCGUUCCUCCUCCCCAUACAGAGACACUCCACCUGAAACUUUAACUUUCUAAAACACAAAAUGUCUAUAUGCUGUAUGAUCCUGCAAUCCUCGCCUGACAAACUCUCCUAGAUGUUGUAUGAGCCACACCAGUGAUCAUAUCCUCUAAAAUAUCAGAAAUGUAAAAUGGAACAUUUGUUGAAACUCAAUUAGUGGUUUGUUUUUCAUAAUUCCCUUUAAAGUAAGUGUUUUAGAGGUGUAAGUCUUCCAUUUAGACACUUGUAAGUGAUAAACAAUGAGAACGUCACUGUGUACUUGAGAGACUAACUGUGUUUAUACUUCUGAAGAGAGCUUUGCUUCUUAUUUAAUGUGUUGACUCCAGACUCUGCCCUAUUGUCUUGCUCGCUAACGCUUUCAUUCUGUCAUUCUGUGUUUUAUAAUGUAGUUGACGUCAUGUUUUUCUGAAUGUUUUUAACCUUCGCUUUGGCUUUACAUGGCAACUCUGGUCAAACAUAGUGACAGAAAUGGUAAGACAGAAAACAAGGAGUGUUUCCAUUUUUAAAAAAAAAGGUCAUAAUUUGGCCACAUUACUUGGUUGAAACUAAAAGCCGCUUUUGUAUUUUGGUAUGUUAGCCUUUAUUGGACAGGUUACAGUGAAUAUACAGACAGGAAAUGUAUGGAGAGAGACAGGAGUAAAACAUGCAACAAAGGUCCCUGUUGGAGUUUUAUGGUUAUAUGGUGCGGCUUUAAUUACAGUGAAUAUGUCAUACAUUAUUAUUUUUUUUUAAACAAAAAGUU